rnacentral:rRNA from 1 species
CCUACGGGUGGCAGCAGUGGGGAAUAUUGGACAAUGGGGGCAACCCUGAUCCAGCCAUGCCGCGUGUGUGAAGAAGGCCCUCGGGUUGUAAAGCACUUUCAGUGAGGAAGAACGCCUGGUGGUUAAUACCCAUCAGGAAAGACAUCACUCACAGAAGAAGCACCGGCUAACUCCGUGCCAGCAGCCGCGGUAAUACGGAGGGUGCGAGCGUUAAUCGGAAUUACUGGGCGUAAAGCGCGCGUAGGUGGCUUGAUAAGCCGGUUGUGAAAGCCCUGGGCUCAACCUGGGAACGGCAUCCGGAACUGUCAAGCUAGAGUGCAGGAGAGGAAGGUAGAAUUCCCGGUGUAGCGGUGAAAUGCGUAGAGAUCGGGAGGAAUACCAGUGGCGAAGGCGGCCUUCUGGACUGACACUGACACUGAGGUGCGAAAGCGUGGGUAGCAAACAGGAUUAGAUACCCGGGUAGUC